CACAAGCAGAACCACGGUGACACAAGUUGAAGAAAUCAAGAAAGCAGUGGCAGAGACGGAGCAGAGAGUCGCCCACUUGGAGGCCAUCACAAAACCCUACAACAUGAUGAUCUACUCAGUGCCAGAAGGCAUGGAAGCUGAUGAACUCGGACUCUUCGCAGAGAAUCAAAGAGAAGGUCGUGGGAAGGCGAAGGGCUUCGGCUGUCCGCUCUGGAGCGAGGCCCGGGUGCCGGCUGGGGAGUAGGAGUGUUGGCGGCCAUUUCCCCGGAUGGUGAGGUAGAUGGGGGCGGCGUGCACUGCCAUACAGCGGGGUCGCCUCCCUGUGCUUCAUUUUCAGAGCUGAAGGGGGCGCUGUGCGAUUGAUCUGUGAGCACAAGAGAGGAAGAGGGGUCAAGCGAAGGAACACCAAUGAUACAAGCAAGUCUUCCACAAUGAUGGAUCCCACUCCUUCACCCACACCUCGUCUGUCUUCUCCUCCUCCUCCUCCUGUUUCCCUCUCUCAGCUGCUCAGCCAGAGACACACUGAACCAGAUUUGAAGCUUAUGUAAGAGCUGGAUCAUAAAUAUGUACCGCUUAUGAAACACACAAAAAAAAAAAACAGGACACACACACACUCUGGCGCACACAAAUAAAUUUACACUCAACGCCCAAAACAGAUUCUGAAGGAGACCAUCCUGCCAGGUUUCUCUCCUGUUUGACUGGACAUGUGAGAUCACACCACCUACACACAUGGUUUCAGCCAUGAUGUGAUGACUUUGGACCACCUGCUGUCACUCACUGUAUCACACCGCUUCACUAACACAUUAAGAAACUCUACUCCUUCACUUGUUUAUGCUUGUACUUCAGUCGAGAUGUCGAAAGAGCCACAAGCAACACACACUCAUAUCAAACCCUCUGCUCCCUUUCAACACAGCCUCACACAAGAAAAAGCACGACCUACACAAACACUGCAAAAGGCUCAAACAUAAAGAAAAAGUGAGGGAGAAGUGAGGUCAAUUUAUGAAAAAAAAAGCAUAUGGCCGUCGGUGGGAGAAGCAGCUCAAGAAAGAAAACCCUGAGUGCGAGAAGAAUAAAUGAUCAGGUCAACACGUCGACACAUUAUGUCCAUGAAAAAAAAAGAUUCAGUCGUCAGAUCGCUUUCAAUGACAUCAGUAAUCACAUCGCUAUAAUCGAGCGGUUCGGCGAGUGCCGUGACCCAGAAAAUGGGCCGGCGUGUGCAGCAUGCGUGAGCUGUCGGACGCGUUCAUUAUCUAACUCCAACAGUUUCUUCUGAAUUAUCAAUGUAGAAAAAAAAGCCACAUCAUGGCAGUUACACAACACAACAUCAAAAAUUUUUGACCACAUGACACACAGUCAAGCAGGGAAAAGCUCAAACUUGAAGCACACAUAUUUUGUCGAAGUGUCACUAUAAAAAUAGUUGCUGGAAGACGUUAGCAAACAAGUUACAUAAGAAGAGUUACAUUUGGUCAAAGCCUCUCACACUCAAAACAUUCAAAUUAAAAAACAGAGUGGAAAUGUUUAAGCCAAAUAUGGGAGUGCCCAUAGUUUGGAGGUCUAUUAAUAUAAAGUGCUUUAGUGUUACAUUCUUUUACUGGAGAAAAUAAAAUCAGGGGUUCCCCAUCAGACAGCAAAACUUCAGCACUUGAGACAGCAUGAGUUUUCACGCCUUAAAACUAAAAUUGAAUCUACAAAAUGGUUUACUCCCACUUUCAGAAAAUAUAAACACAAAACUGAAAUGAUAUUUCCUUGUUCUAAAUCUCUCCAUGAUGCCGUCCUGAAAAGAGAAUAAAACAGCCCAAAACAGACAGCCUGUGUCAUGACCUCUUGUCCCUGGGCUUCAUAAGCAGCUUACAAAUGACGCAGCCAUUUACUACAAAGUGGUGGAGAAUCCCUGCCAUUACACACAUACACCCCGCCGGACAGACACAAGCUUCCCUUUAUAUAACUAUGCGAGGGAUUUAUAGUCAGUAGGGCAACGCUGACAUCAGUCCCGAUGGAGACGGCGAAUCUCUUUGUCAAUCGGUACCUUUACCCAGAAUUACAAAAUGUCCACUUUCAAAUGUGACUUGUGCAACUUUGGAAAAACUUCAUGGGUUACAGAUGUGUCUUCGUGUUGGGAUGAAGAAGAGUAAAAUAAGUACGAAACUGCCUUGCUUUGAGUCGUAUGCGGAGUGGACCACAUGUAUACAUGCUGUACAUUCACACAUGAUUUCAUCAUAGCUACUGACCACUGUUCUAUAUGGAGGACUUGAUAAAAACUCAUGGAUGACCUCAGAUUUGACUGAGCUUUCUGCUGUUGAGUUUUCCAUCAUCUGUUCCCACAUGGCCCUCUGGCUCAGCACCAUCUUAGCAACACCUUUCCCACCUCCCUGUGGACCAGGUACAUGUUCCAGCUCGCUUAUUAGGCCGCCUGACCCAAGUUGUUACAUAAAUGUCUCCUGCUGUAGUACAGUUACAAAACCGGGAACAGCUCCACCCAGAGUGGACAGGCUUUCAUCACUCAGAUGUCAUCUUCAGGCGCAAUUAUGCCCAAUUAAGUCAUCAUCUGGCGGCUUUGUGACAGUGAGGUUUGCCUUAUGUUUUGUCAGAGUAAGGCGAAUAUGCUGAAAUACAUUAAGUACCAUCUCAUUCACGACAUCAAUUAUGGCCGCCUAAUUGAAGAGACAACCUGAAUGAUGAAUGGAGGGAGUGACGUGGUGCGAGUACAACUUCUCCUCAUGUGGUUGAAAAGCCCAAGAAGGUGCUUGAUCCACACGCAGUCGGACAGAAAGUUGCUCUUUAUCAGACGGGCCACCGGCACUGAGUUCGGUCAGACGAGUGGGGACGCUUAUGUAAGUGCUGCCUUUGGCUGUUACACAACCAGCAUGUUCAUAAGAAGCUCACAUCCUGACCACACACACAAAAAAAAACGACACACAUAAAGAUGCGCUGCAUCACAGUCACCCCAAAAGAAUUCACAAGCCAAGAAAAAGCAGCAAAAUAUAGGCACAACACUGGAAUGUUUUUACAGCCGUGUGUGUCAUCUCACGGCUGCAGAAAUUGAUUGGUCUAACAAAAAAUAAUUUUCCAAGAAACCGUACCGGAAAAGCAUAUCUGACACACUAAUUCCACACUGAAUUAGAUUAGGACAGAAGGGACACUGACAGAACUGUCAUGUAGUUUCGGAGAGGUCACAUGAGCUUAUGCAUGAAUAUGAAAGGGGUCGCCAGUAGUGCAGUCGUGAGAAAUAUAAUGAAACCCACCCUGAGGCUGAGAUGACAAGUCAUGAAGAGCUGGACAGAUAAGAUAAGGGAGUUUAAGAGAGAGUGGUAGGACGGACAGUAGGCCAGUGUGUUAGGGACAAUAAAGCACGAGUGAAGAAGAUCAGAUAAUUACCAGCAAGUUCCAUGAUAAAAGACAGAUACAAGACAAAGUAUGCGUGGCUUCAGUAAACUAGGGUGAAGAUGACUGCUCCUGAGGGCUGCAGACAGAGAAACCGCCCCAGAAGAAGACCACACAGAGAGGAGGUCUCAACAGCUGUGUUAAACGUGUUCUCACUGGAUCUUCUAUGAGCCAUUAAAAGCUUGUAAAAGUUUUUACUUCAAAGUAUUUAUGACAUUUAAUUUGUAAGUGUUUAUGACAUUGAACACACACAUAUAUAACAUAGACAUUCUUCAGUGUUUAUGACAUUUAAUAUACUGUGCUUGUAAACUGAAAAUAUUGCUGAUCUAAGUCUGCUUUUCCUUGCAAAUUUAAUAAAUCACAUGAUGUUUACACUUAAUUCAAACUGU